rnacentral:rRNA from 1 species
GAAACUCAAAUGAAGUUGACGGGACCGCACAAGCAGCGGAGCGUGUGGUUUAAUUCGUUGCUACACGAAGAACCUUACCUGGGUUUGACAUAUAGGUUGUAGGGAACUGAAAAGGGACCGACCUUCGGGAGCCUAUACAGGUGUUGCAUGGGCUGUCGUCAGCUCGUGUCGUGAGAUGUUCGGUUAAGUCCGCUAACGAGCGCAACCCUCGUCGUAUGUUAUAUGUGUCAUACGAGACUGCCGGUAAAAGCCGGAGGAAGGUGAGGAUGAUGUCAAGUCAGCAUGACCUUUAUAUCCAGGGCUACACACACGCUACAAUGGUCUGUACAAUGGGUAGCCAAGCCGCGAGGCGGAGCCAAUCCUGAAAGCAGGCCUCAGUUCAGAUUGCAGUCUGCAACUCGACUGCAUGAAGCCGGAGUUGCUAGUAACCGCAGGUCAGCAAUACUGCGGUGAAUACGUUCCCGGGUCUU